UCUUUUCUUGGUAAUUCACGGCUCAAAGAAAAGGCAAGGAAAAAGGAAGCAAAAAUCAUAUUUAAACUAUACUAAUAAUAAGGGUUAUACUAGGUAGAUUAAGGGUUAAUUCAAGGAAGGAUUAAGGAUUGUUUUAAGCUUAGAUUAAGGGUUAUUUGGAGCUUCAAGGUCAUGAAAUUUUCUGCUCAUAUUCACCAUCAAAACCGAAUUCAAGAGGGCUUGCUUGAGGGACGACACCACUAGCCGAAGAUCUCGCUUUUGAUCAGACCCUUUUCAUACUCCAAUCAAGUUUAGAGCAUUAGGUUCGUAGCUUGGACCGCCUUGGACCUUGUUUGCUUGUUAGUCGGUGGACUUGUAAUGCGAACAAUUUGUCUUUCAUUUAUAGAUUAUGAUUAUGUAAUGGAUUCUAACGUCAUCGUGAACUUAUUGUCUUUUGAUCUCGAAUGAUAUAUGAAACUUAAUGUUGAUGUUUUAUCUUUAAAUCUUUGUACCAUGUCGUUCUAUGGCACUUCGUGUUUCCGCCUUA